rnacentral:rRNA from 1 species
GAUGAACGCUGGCGGCGUGCCUAAUACAUGCAAGUCGAGCGAACGGACGAGAAGCUUGCUUCUCUGAUGUUAGCGGCGGACGGGUGAGUAACACGUGGAUAACCUACCUAUAAGACUGGGAUAACUUCGGGAAACCGGAGCUAAUACCGGAUAAUAUUUUGAACCGCAUGGUUCAAAAGUGAAAGACGGUCUUGCUGUCACUUAUAGAUGGAUCCGCGCUGCAAUAGCUAGUUGGUAAGGUAACGGCUUACCAAGGCAACGAUGCAUAGCCGACCUGAGAGGGUGAUCGGCCACACUGGAACUGAGACACGGUCCAGACUCCUACGGGAGGCAGCAGUAGGGAAUCUUCCGCAAUGGGCGAAAGCCUGACGGAGCAACGCCGCGUGAGUGAUGAAGGUCUUCGGAUCGUAAACCUCUGUUAUUAGGGAAGAACAUAUGUGUAAGUAACUGUGCACAUCUUGACGGUACCUAAUCAGAAAGCCACGGCUAACUACGUG